CGGCAAAAUUGCCUUUCACGAACGCGCACCUGAUAUCGAUAUCAGUAGCGUAGCUAGGCUAUUUUUAAGUGUACGCCCCAACCUCGGCGAGGGGUUUGGGAGCUCCAAUCGGACCAAGGUUAUAACAUCUUCUAGUAGUGGGUUCGAGGGGGAGGUGUCAUUAAAAACUAAUCAAUAGUAAGUUGAACAUACCUUAUAGAUUACUUUUUUUUUAUUUUUUUUUAUCUUUUAUGUUCAAUGUAUGCAUUGUGUUGAUUUGAAAUCUAAUGGUCAAUGGUGUUAGAAAAAAAAUACAAACCAUGCAGUUACUUUAAAAUAUGUUUAAAAGGAACCGUGGGGUAAUAUAUAGCAAUUACUCGACUAAAACCCCUUUUUGUGCAAAAGUCGUUAAUGGAUAUGAAUUUAUUAAUUUGCAUAGAUGUUUAGGUGCAUUAUGAAAAUUCGUAAACGGUUCCAUGGAACCGUGGUUCUCGCUAGAUUACCGCUUCCCUCGAAAAUUGAUUCCUUUUAUCAGUCCAUUACAGGAUUUUAAAUAAUCAAACAUUUUCUUUAGAUUUUUUUUCUUGAUCUGGACUAUUAAUUUCUACCCAAGUAUCAUGACAAUAUCUGAAGGUUUUCCAAAUGAUCAUGUAAAAAAAUUAUAAUCACAGAGCGUCUGUUAACUGCUAAAGAUAAGUCCGUAUGUCAAUUGAAAAAUGAAAAAAA
rnacentral:lncRNA from 1 species